rnacentral:rRNA from 1 species
UACAGGGGGGGCAAGCGUUGUUCGGAAUUACUGGGCGUAAAGGGUCUGUAGGUGGCCAACUAAGUCAAACGUGAAAUCCCUCAGCUUAACUGGGGAACUGCGUCUGAUACUGGAUGGCUCGAGUGUGGGAGAGGAAUGCGGAAUUCCAGGUGUAGCGGUGAAAUGCGUAGAUAUCGGGAGGAACACCGGUGGCGAAGGCGGCGACCUGGGUAGAUACUGACGCUGAGGUGCGAAAGCGUGGGGAGCAAACAGG